rnacentral:misc_RNA from 1 species
GUGAAUCAUCAAAUUUUUGAACGCAAAUUGCACUCUCUGCUGAGAGUAUGCCUGUUUGAGGGUCAGCCUAAAAAAAAUCGACAUAGUUGCUGUUGCGCUGUGAGAUUUUUCGGAAAGUGGGUCAACGUAAACCUUUGGGUUGUAAGCGGCUUAAAAUUUUCUUUACGAUGCCACGAACGUUUCUAAGAUUGUACUUCGUACACGUUGAAGGUAUCGAUCUUUAUUAGACUUUGCCGUUGCAUCUGAUCACGUCCAUAAAUACUUCGUUAACUGACCUCAGACAGUAAAGA